GGAGCUAACGCGUUAAGUCGACCGCCUGGGGAGUACGGCCGCAAGGUUAAAACUCAAAUGAAUUGACGGGGGCCCGCACAAGCGGUGGAGCAUGUGGUUUAAUUCGAUGCAACGCGAAGAACCUUACCUACUCUUGACAUCCAGCGAACUUUCCAGAGAUGGAUUGGUGCCUUCGGGAACGCUGAGACAGGUGCUGCAUGGCUGUCGUCAGCUCGUGUUGUGAAAUGUUGGGUUAAGUCCCGCAACGAGCGCAACCCUUAUCCUUUGUUGCCAGCGAUUCGGUCGGGAACUCAAAGGAGACUGCCGGUGAUAAACCGGAGGAAGGUGGGGAUGACGUCAAGUCAUCAUGGCCCUUACGAGUAGGGCUACACACGUGCUACAAUGGCGCAUACAAAGAGAAGCGACCUCGCGAGAGCAAGCGGACCUCAUAAAGUGCGUCGUAGUCCGGAUCGGAGUCUGCAACUCGACUCCGUGAAGUCGGAAUCGCUAGUAAUCGUGGAUCAGAAUGCCACGGUGAAUACGUUCCCGGGCCUUGUACACACCGCCCGUCACACCAUGGGAGUGGGUUGCAAAAGAAGUAGGUAGCUUAACCUUCGGGAGGGC
rnacentral:rRNA from 1 species